AGCUCCAAUAGCGUAUAUUAAAGUUGUUGCAGUUAAAAAGCUCGUAGUUGGAUCUCGGGUCCGGGCUCGCGGUCCACCUCGCGGUGGUUACUGCCCGUCUCGACCUACCAUCCGGUGUUCCCUUGGUGCUCUUAACUGAGUGUCUCGGGUGGCCGGAACGUUUACCUUGAAAAAAUUAGAGUGUUCAAAGCAGGCGUUCGCCUGAAUAAUGUUGCAUGGAAUAAUGGAAUAGGAUCUCGGUUCUAUUUUGUUGGUUUUCGGAACUUGAGAUAAUGAUUAAGAGGGACAGCCGGGGGCAUUCGUAUGAUGGUGUUAGAGGUGAAAUUCUUGGAUCGCCGUCAGACGAACUACUGCGAAAGCAUUUGCCAAGGAUGUUUUCA
rnacentral:rRNA from 1 species